rnacentral:rRNA from 1 species
UGCGGAGGGGGCUAGCGUUGUUCGGAAUUACUGGGCGUAAAGCGCACGUAGGCGGCGAUUUAAGUCAGAGGUGAAAGCCCGGGGCUCAACCCCGGAAUAGCCUUUGAGACUGGAUUGCUAGAAUCUUGGAGAGGCGGGUGGAAUUCCGAGUGUAGAGGUGAAAUUCGUAGAUAUUCGGAAGAACACCAGUGGCGAAGGCGGCCCGCUGGACAAGUAUUGACGCUGAGGUGCGAAAGCGUGGGGAGCAAACAGG